CCUACGGGUGGCAGCAGUAGGGAAUCUUCCACAAUGGGCGAAAGCCUGAUGGAGCAACGCCGCGUGGGUGAAGAAGGUCUUCGGAUCGUAAAACCCUGUUGUUAGAGAAGAAAGUGCGUGAGAGUAACUGUUCACGUUUCGACGGUAUCUAACAAGAAAGCCACGGCUAACUACGUGCCAGCAGCCGCGGCAAUACGUAGGUGGCAAGCGUUAUCCGGAUUUAUUGGGCGUAAAGGGAACGCAGGUGGUCUUUUAAGUCUGAUGUGAAAGGCUUCGGCUUAACCGGAGUAGUGCAUUGGAAACUGGGAGACUUGAGUACAGAAGAGGAGGGUGGAACUCGAUGUGUAGCGGUGAAAUGCUUAGAUAUAUGGAAGAACUCCGGUGGCGAAGGCGGCUCUCUGGUCUGUAACUGACGCUGAGGCUCGAAAGCGUGGGUAACAAACAGGAUUAGAUACCCCAGUAGUC
rnacentral:rRNA from 1 species